rnacentral:lncRNA from 1 species
GGGGGCUAGGAUGAAAAAUUUUGUCCUGCAUUUUUUUUUUUAGUUGUAAUCUCUGUCCUGCCUUUUCAUUUUUCACUCUAUUUGGUCCUCCCCUUUUUUUUUUUUUUUUAGUUUAUCCUGACUUUUUUUUUACCUAAAUUGUCAUCCUGACUUUUUUUUUUGCAAGUGUCUCAUCCUGCCUUUUUUUUUUACUCAAAAUUCCUGUCC